GCCUGGGUGGUUCAGUCGGUUGAGCAUUUGACUUCAGCUCAGGUCAUGAUCUCAUGGUUCGUGGGUUCAAGCCCCGCAUGGGGCU
rfam:Felis catus isolate Cinnamon breed Abyssinian chromosome F1, whole genome shotgun sequence.